UACGGUGGGGGCAAGCGUUGUUCGGAAUUACUGGGCGUAAAGGGUUCGUAGGUGGCCAACUAAGUCAGACGUGAAAUCCCUCAGCUUAACUGGGGAACUGCGUCUGAGACUGGAGGGCUUGAGUGCAGGAGAGGAACGCGGAAUUCCAGGUGUAGCGGUGAAAUGCGUAGAUAUCUGGAGGAACACCGGUGGCGAAGGCGGCGUUCUGGACUGCAACUGACACUGAUGAACGAAAGCCAGGGGAGCAAACGGG
rnacentral:rRNA from 1 species